GUGGGGAAUUUUGGACAAUGGGGGCAACCCUGAUCCAGCAAUGCCGCGUGCAGGAAGAAGGCCUUCGGGUUGUAAACUGCUUUUGUACGGAACGAAAAGGCUCUGGUUAAUACCUGGGGCUCAUGACGGUACCGUAAGAAUAAGCACCGGCUAACUACGUGCCAGCAGCCGCGGUAAUACGUAGGGUGCAAGCGUUAAUCGGAAUUACUGGGCGUAAAGCGUGCGCAGGCGGUUUUGUAAGACAGACGUGAAAUCCCCGGGCUCAACCUGGGAAUGGCGUUUGUGACUGCAAAGCUGGAGUGCGGCAGAGGGGGAUGGAAUUCCGCGUGUAGCAGUGAAAUGCGUAGAUAUGCGGAGGAACACCGAUGGCGAAGGCAAUCCCCUGGGCCUGCACUGACGCUCAUGCACGAAAGCGUGGGGAGCAAACAGGAUUAGAUACCCUGGUAGUCC
rnacentral:rRNA from 1 species